rnacentral:tRNA from 1 species
UCCCUGGUGGUGCAACAGUUAAGCACUCGGCUGCCAACCGAAAAGUUGGUGGUUUGAACCCACCCAGGGGCC